ACAACAUAGGCCCAUGCACCGACCCAAAGAACACCUCUACACACCAGCAGGAACAAAUACCCUAGCUCACGAAGUCAAAAGGCAGAUGACGAAGAAAGUGCGCGGUGCACUUUUUAGCAGAUCUUUAAACCUGUAUUCCGCGUUAUGUCCUCUGAACAACCAGACCAGAUGACUUGUAUAACAGCGGAAGCAUCGUUACAUUCCAGUGAGGACAACCGUUUCCGCUCAAAAGGGGAUGGAUUAAAACGAGCUGGGUAGCCAAUCUAUUCACUCAUAUGAAGUACCGCCCCAAAUUGUACACUGUACAUUGGCUGCUCAUUCAUUGGUAUGAACCACAGCCAUAAAAACGAGCUGAGUAGCCAAUCUAUUCACUCAUAUGAAGUACCGCCCCGAAUUGUACACUGUACAUUGGCUGAUCAUUCAUUGGUGUGAAACAGAGCCAUUUCUCUCUAUGGCUUUGGUAUGAACCAAACUUCAUUGACAUUCCCAAAAGGUCCGCCUUAUUUCAUUUACGUAUAGUCUAAUUGGUCCAAACGUCAAAUGUAUUAUACAUUAGACAAGACGACCGUACUGUAAAGACAAGCAGUUGCCAGAAGAAAAAUAUUAAUCGGGCUGGACCUCAGGGUCAAAACUUUCAAAUUGAAGUUAGCAGUAGCCUACAGCAGUCAUCAGGAAUCUGAAGAAGUUCAAGUAAACUUGACCUUGGAAGUCUUCGUUUUCGUUUAUUUAUGUAGUCGACAGUACUUAAAAGCAACGGCCCAACAUAUGGGCCUUGAAUAAUUAUGAAGUAAUUAAGCUACAUAUUUUUUUUACUGCAAGUAGUCUAAACAUUGUCUGCCUCGGAUCAAACAUAGACAAUUAGAGCUAAUACACGAAGAGAACAUUUUAGUCUACCAACUGGAACAAAGUUCUUGACUGGGAGGUGACUGUUUCUAUGGAAACAGACAGACACAGAAAAGUAAUGGCGGUCCUACACUGGAGUUGUCAAGAUGUAGCUGAAUGGAUAGAAUCUCUGGGAUAUCCACAUUAUACAGCUUGUUUCUCUCAGAACCUCAUUACAGGUAGAAAGCUGAUUUAUGUAAAUUGCUCAUAUCUGCCAAGAUUAGGAAUCACAGACUUUGAGGAUAUGAAGGUCAUCUCGUCUCAUGUCCGGGAGCUGCUGGGGGUCACGGAGCCGCUGUGGAGCCGCAGCAUAGCAGACCUCCCCCGGGACAACAUGGGCCUGUUCCUAGAGAAGAAGAGCCGGACUGGAGACUGGGCCGAUUCCCUCACUUACUCACAGUUUCUCAAAGACAUAAAACAGUGAAACGGCACGUUGCAUGCUUGAAAUGAUCAAUUAAACAGACAUGGUGAUUAAAAUUGA